GUUUACCUCCUGCUGCUGGAGCCUGUGGUCCUGCUCCACCACCACCUUUCUUAUCGAAAACAUUAUCAUUCAAGCCGGCAAGAGUUUGAUAGUUAGGAUCAUGAGUUCCGGCCAUUCCUGG
rnacentral:sRNA from 1 species